GAUGAACGCUGGCGGCGUGCCUAAUACAUGCAAGUCGAGCGAACGGACGAGGAGCUUGCUUCUCUGAUGUUAGCGGCGGACGGGUGAGUAACACGUGGAUAACCUACCUAUAAGACUGGGAUAACUUCGGGAAACCGGAGCUAAUACCGGAUAAUAUUUUGAACCGCAUGGUUCAAAAGUGAAAUACGGUCUUGCUGUCACUUAUAGGUGGAUCCGCGCUGGAUUAGCUAGUUGGUAAGGUAACGGCUUACCAAGGCAACGAUGCAUAGCCGACCUGAGAGGGUGAUCGCCCACCCGAGAAGUGAGACACCGUCCAGACUACUACGGGAGGGAGCAGUAGGCAAUGGGCCGCAAUGGGCGAAAGCCUGACGGAGCAGCGCCACGUGAGUGAUGAAGGCCUUCGGAUCGUAAAACUCUGUUAUUAGGGAAGAACAUAUGUGUACGUAACUGUGCACAGCUUGACGGUACCUAAUAAGAAAGCACCGGCUAACUACGUG
rnacentral:rRNA from 1 species